rnacentral:lncRNA from 1 species
GGGGUUUCCAAUCACAGACUUGUUCAGCGUUCAAUUCUGAACACAACAAGAGAACUUCAUUAAAAUUGGAUGAAUAAUUCACUAAAAAUGAAACGCUUAAAAUUAUCAUAUGUCAAUUCCUUGAAAAAUUUAAGAUCAGUUUGCCUACAAAUAGCAAUUGAUGGCAUAACAACACAACUUUCAUCCUUGCAUAAUAACAAUACAGGAUCUUCAAGACUGCAUCAUAACUGUGCAGAGAUUUCUACUGACACUAUAGGCUGUAAGGAACUCCAUCCAAUAUCAUACUCAACUGUAUUUUGGUGCUGGUGGAA